ensembl:lncRNA
UGAGAGAGAGAUUGAGAGAAACUUAGUAGAAGAAUAGAAUAUGAAAACAGCACGUUUCCUUCUGGAUAAAAUACUGUUGGCUGUUUACAUCAUGGAGCCAAAUCAGGACUUUGCUCAGGACUCCUACUUUUCAAGCAGGACACUCACAAUAGUGCAGUCAAAGAAGCCCAGAACUGUGAGAAACAAAGAGAAGGUGAUGGGAAUGAGAUCCUCCGAGGAAGAGAAAGAAGAGGGCCCAGUCAGGGAUGCUAAUUCCCAGAGCUCUGUAACUCCUCUGGAUGCUCUGUAAUCACAGAAAACAUGCUUCUGACAUGGACUCUCCUCUUGUUCUUCCUAAUGGACCAGCCUUCCUUCUCUGAGGCCCAAGACCUCCUCCGUCACCAAACUGACAGGCCCAGAACGAAGAUCUCUGCCAACCACAAAUAUUACUGUGACAUGAUGAUGAAGGCUCGAGGGCUGGCCACUGACAAGGGCUGUAAGAAGAACAAGAUCUUUGUCCACAGUGUGUCACCCAGCACUCGUGGCCUUUGCGAGAGUCCAGCUGUGACGUGUAUGAAGUCGUCUGAGUUUUACAGCUGCC